AGGCUACUCAAGAGCAGCUAACUGAGCAAAUAGCAGAAACAGUUCGCCAAGAACAGAACAGUAGAAAACCCCAGGCAGAGCCGAAGACAGUGACAGAAGGGAUUAUUGCUUCUGAAGAAGAAAAAAAUGAUUACAAGUGAAUUCUUUACCGCUGAGCUGGAUGAGAUGUUUACAUGGACAAAAAGAUUGAGAAGCAAAAACACAAUGAGAAAGUGUAUUUUUGGCCUAGAAAAUGGAAAGAGAGAAGGAAAAAUAUCACUCCAGUCAGAAUGAGCACAGUGAACUGAAGUUAAAUACAGUAUAUUUUAUUUUGUGUCUCCCAUUUUCUUAUGUUACAACUUCAUUGAAAGAGAUGUGCAUGCAUGCUAAGUCCCUUCAGUCAUGCCUGAUUUUUUGUGACUCUGUGGACUGUAGUCAGCCAGGCUUUUCUGCCCACAGGAUUCUCCAAACCAGAAUACUGGAGUAAGUUGCAAGAGAGGUGAGAGGAAGACAAUUAAGUUGUUAUUAUCAAAUACUGGAGAAGGGCAUGGUGACCUACUCCAGCAUUCUUCCCUGGAGAAUCCCAUGGACAGAGGCGCCUGGCAGGCUGUAGUCCAGAGGGUUGUACAGAAUCAGACAUAACUGAAGCGACUGAGCACACGUUACCAAAUAUUGUUCUGCUGUGUUGCUGAAGCUUAUGAAGACGGCCCUGGAGCUUUUUCAGAGUUGUUUUACUUUAUGAAUAACUGUUUAAUUGUCCACUUGUUGGAGAACAGAUGCUGGGAUCUCCUA
rnacentral:lncRNA from 1 species